rnacentral:rRNA from 1 species
AACGAACGCUGGCGGCAGGCUUAACACAUGCAAGUCGAACGAACAUAGCAAUAUGUUAGUGGCAGACGGGUGAGUAACGCGUGGGAAUGUGCCCUUUAGUUCGGAAUAACGCAGGGAAACUUGAGCUAAUACCGGAUAAGCCCGAGAGGGGAAAGAUUUAUCGCGGAAGGAGCAGCCCGCGUCUGAUUAGCUAGUUGGUGAGGUAAUGGCUCACCAAGGCGACGAUCAGUAGCUGGUCUGAGAGGAUGAUCAGCCACACUGGGACUGGGACACGGCCCAGACUCCUACGGGAGGCAGCAGUGGGGAAUAUUGGACAAUGGGGGCAACCCUGAUCCAGCCAUGCCGCGUGAGUGAUGAAGGCCUUAGGGUUGUAAAACUCUUUUAUCCGGGAAGAUAAUGACUGUACCGGAAGAAUAAGCCCCGGCUAACUUCGUGCCAGCAGCCGCAGUAA